rnacentral:lncRNA from 1 species
CAUAAGGGGGCUGCCCUCUGAGUGGGCAUAAAUGCUGACGACCACAGGAGUUAGUUACUGUGUGCCUGCCUGAAUUGCAUUAGCUGCUAAUUACUCUGAGGUCUCCCUAAUGUCUCUGGUCUUCUCCACCAAAGCACACUGUGAAGAAGGGUUGCUGUAGGUGUGGCCAGAUCCCCUAGGCAAGAAGUGUGGAUACAGGUCCUACCAGUCUUACUCCUGAUGAAGUUGGGCAAAUCAGUUGGCUCCGGAGUAAUUAGUAGCCCCUUCCUCAUUGACCACUGCAAGUUCCUUGAGCUCAAACACACCUACCUCUUAAAUGAACUGUCUUUGUGAUCUUGGCCAAGUUACUCAACAUCUUUGGUCCUCAUUUUUCUCUUUGGAAAGUUCAAACAUCUAAAAAUACAACUAAAGUUUCUUCUACCUCAAAUAAGGCUAUAAGUGAGUAAGUCCAGGAAUCAGUAUAAUUUUAUGUCUAUGACUGAAUUAUAAUAGCAAUAAUUAAAAUUCAUUUAAAAG